rnacentral:rRNA from 1 species
GACGAACGCUGGCGGCGUGCUUAACACAUGCAAGUCGAACGGAAAGGCCUGCUUUCCCUUGUGGAUUGCGGGUACUCGAGUGGCGAACGGGUGAGUAACACGUGAGUGAUCUGCCCCCAACUUGGGUAUAAGCCUGGGAAACUGGGUCUAAUUCCCGAUAGGACUGCAGGGUGGUGCCUGUGGUGGAAAACGAUUUUCUAGUGGUUGGGGAUGAGCUCGCGGCCUAUCAGCUUGUUGGUGGGGUAAUGGCCUACCAAGGCGGCGACGGGUAGCCGGCCUGAGAGGGUGGACGGCCACAGUGGGACUGAGAUACGGCCCAGACUCCUACGGGAGGCAGCAGUGGGGAAUAUUGCACAAUGGGCGGAAGCCUGAUGCAGCGACGCCGCGUGGGGGAUGACGGCCUUCGGGUUGUAAACUCCUUUCGACCGCGAGGAAGCCACCUGGUUGGAAGGGUGGUGACGGUAGCGGUAGAAGAAGCACCGGCUAACUACGUG